rnacentral:rRNA from 1 species
AGAGAGCUUGGCUACUCGAAGAGUCAAAGCUCUCGGCUCAACCGAGGAAUUGCGCUCUAAACUGAUUGACUUGAGUGAGAUAGGGGUGUGCGGAACUUCCGGUGGAGCGGUGAAAUGUGUUGAUAUCGGAAGGAACACCAGUAGCGAAGGCGGCACACUGGGUCUUCACUGACGCUGAGGCACGAAAGCUAGGGGAGCGAACGGGAUUAGAUACCCCAGUAGUCAGGAUUAGAUACCCGAGUAGUCAGGAUUAGAUACCCCGGUAGUCAGGAUUAGAUACCCGAGUAGUCAGGAUUAGAUACCCGAGUAGUC